UGGGUUUGACAUGCUAGUUAAAGCGGGUGAAAGCCCGUGUCCGUAAGGGGCUAGCACAGGUGCUGCAUGGCUGUCGUCAGCUCGUGCCGUGAGGUGUUGGCUUAAGUGCCGCAACGAGCGCAACCCCUGCUCUUAGUUGCCAGCGGGUAAUGCCGGGGACUCUAAGAGGACUGCCGGGGACAACUCGGAGGAAGGUGGGGAUGACGUGUCGUUACCUUA
rnacentral:misc_RNA from 1 species